rnacentral:rRNA from 1 species
AGAGUUUGAUCCUGGCUCAGAUUGAACGCUGGCGGCAUGCUUUACACAUGCAAGUCGAGCGGCAGCGCGGGGGCAACCCUGGCGGCGAGCGGCGGACGGGUGAGUAAUGCAUCGGAACGUAUCCCGUAGUGGGGGACAACCCAGCGAAAGCUGGGCUAAUACCGCAUAUGCUCUGCGGAGGAAAGUGGGGGACCCGUAAGGGCCUCACGCUCUGGGCGCGGCCGAUGUCCGAUUAGCUAGUUGGUGAGGUAAUGGCUCACCAAGGCGACGACGGGUAGCCGGCCUGAGAGGGCGACCGGCCACACUGGGACUGAGACACGGCCCAGACUCCUACGGGAGGCAGCAGUGGGGAAUAUUGCGCAAUGGGCGAAAGCCUGACGCAGCGACGCCGCGUGAGGGAUGAAGGCCUUCGGGUCGUAAACCUCUUUCAGCAGGGAAGAAGCGAAAGUGACGGUACCUGCAGAAGAAGCACCGGCUAACUACGUGCCAGCAGCCGCGGUAAUACGUAGGGUGCAAGCGUUGUCCGGAAUUAUUGGGCGUAAAGAGCUCGUAGGCGGUCUGUCGCGUCUGCUGUGAAAACUCAGGGCUUAACCCUGAGCUUGCAGUGGGUACGGGCAGACUAGAGUGCGGUAGGGGAGACUGGAAUUCCUGGUGUAGCGGUGAAAUGCGCAGAUAUCAGGAGGAACACCGGUGGCGAAGGCGGGUCUCUGGGCCGUAACUGACGCUGAGGAGCGAAAGCAUGGGGAGCGAACAGGAUUAGAUACCCUGGUAGUCCAUGCCGUAAACGUUGGGCGCUAGGUGUGGGGCUCUUUCCUGAGUUCCGUGCCGCAGCUAACGCAUUAAGCGCCCCGCCUGGGGAGUACGGCCGCAAGGCUAAACUCAAAGGAAUGACGAAGGCGAAUCGUAUCCGUUU